UGGGAACAAUCUUGAUUAUCAUAACACAAACAGCAUGUCCCACUUACCCACUACAAUCCUGCAUAAAGCAAGCUGCAUAAACGUAGCGAGAUUAAUAUCCGGUUGCGUUUCGAGCAACGCUGACAUUCCAAGAAAACGAGAUCUCUGGCUUCGUCCAAGAAU